rnacentral:rRNA from 1 species
UACAGAGGUCCCAAGCGUUGUUCGGAUUCACUGGGCGUAAAGGGUGCGUAGGCGGUCGGGUAAGUCUGAUGUGAAAUCUCACAGCUUGACUGUGAAACUGCAUUGGAUACUAUUCGGCUUGAGAGUUGGAGGGGGGACUGGAAUUCUUGGUGUAGCAGUGAAAUGCGUAGAUAUCAAGAGGAACACCAGUGGCGAAGGCGAGUCCCUGGACAACUUCUGACGCUGAGGCACGAAAGCUAGGGGAGCAAACAGG